UAUUAUAUAUAUAUAUAUAUAUAUAUAUAUAUAUAUAUACAUAUAUAUAUAUAUAUAUAUAUAUAUAUACAUAACUUAGAAUAACUUAGAAAGGUUUUUGGCCAGUAUUGGCCCAGGCCAUGUCUAACUUAAUAGCACCACCUGGCGAAGUCUUUCAGUUCAGGAUUUGGGCACCAAGGCCCAUUCGAGCAGAGAGUUAUUGUUUGCGGAGACAUAUCCGGGUGUGGAUGGUUUGUCCGGUACUGUUUGAAGGAAUUUGUCCAAAGACUUCUUGAAUUUUGUGUGGUCAGUUUCUUUUUUGACGUGUCCUGGUGUAAUGUUGAAGAGAGCGGGUCCAAUUGAGGUGAAAUAGUUGUGCCGUAUUGUCGUUAUGUGAUGCGAUUUAGAUUUUUGUUGUGGACGGAUGGCACGUGGUCCAAGCCUUGGAUGCAUUUUGAAGGUGAUGCCAACAUCAUUCGGACAGUGCUGAUGGAAUAUUUUCCACAUCAUACAGAUAAUGUAGCGUUCACGGCGUCGUUGGAGUGAAUACAAUUUCAGCUUCUCUAGUCUACCCCAGUAGUCAAGGUCUGACAUGCCAUCUAUCUUUUUUGUGAUUGACCUUUGGGGAGCUUCAAUUCUCAUAAUAUUUUGUUUUGUGUAGGGAGACCACAGUGGACAGCAGUAUUCAAGGUGGGGUCGGGCAAAAGUGGAGAAGAGAAGGAUAAUAGCGUGGGAAUCUCUCGACUGGAAGGUUCUGAGAAUCCAGGAACACAUUCUGCGGGCCAUGUCAACUUUGCUGCUUAUAUGUGUAGCCCAGCUUAUGUUGUUGUCCACUGUUACUCCCAGGUCUCUGAUGUUGUUGGAUGCCAUGAGAAUUUCUCCAGAAGGAAGAGAGUAUGGGAGUUUCAGAGCGUCCUCCCUUCCAAAGUGGAUCAGUUCGAAUUUGUCUUCAUUUAGCAACAUGUUAUUCUUUUCCGCCCAUUGGACAACAGCCAGUAGGUCUGACUGAAGGUUUAUUCGGUCAUCCACGCCAUUGAUGACCUUCUGGAGCUUGGAAUCAUCAGCGAAGGUUCUGAUGUUGCUGUGUUUGAUGGUGUCAGUAAUAUCAUUUAUGUAGAUGAUGAAGAGAAGUGGGCCCAACACAGUGCCUUGUGGGACACCACUGCUGACUUUGGCUGGGCUGGAUUUGACUCCUUCGACUACAACAUGUUGGGUUCUGUUAGAGAGGAAGCACUUGAUCCAUUGCAGCAGCUUUCCAGUGACACCAAUAUUGGACAGCUUUCUCAGAAGGAUCUUAUGAUCAACCCUGUCAAAGGCCUUGCUGAAAUCAAGGUAGAUGACAUCAGUGUUGGAACCCUCUCCCAAGGCUCUCAAAAUGUCAUCAAAAUGAUGCAGUAGCUGCGUCAGGCAAUCUCUCCCAUUACGGAAUCCAUGCUGGUUGGGGUUCAGCAUAUUAUGACUCUCAAGGAAGUGAGUCAUACGCGAUCUCAGCACCCUCUCAAAUACCUUGAUGAUAUGAGAGGUGAGUGAGAUUGGACGGUAAUUCACGGCAAGCGAUUUGUUUCCUUUUUUGAAAACUGGGACAACAGACUGGGAUAGAAGGUCUUCUGGUAUAUAUCCAGCAUCCAAUGAGUUCCGCCACAGAUUGGCUAGAGGGGGUGCAAGUUGGUUUUGACACAUCUUCAAGACACAAGCAGGGAACCUAUCGGGACCUACUGCUGAAUUAUGCUUCAUUUCCUUUAUUGCUGCUAAGACAUCAGGAGCGCCAAAUGUUAUGUCCGAUAAAGUGUAUUGGGGAGUAACAUCACUGAUACAGCCCAGAUCAGUCAUAUCAGGAUUGCUGAAAACAGAGCAAUAUUGUUUCUGCAAUAUUUCUCCCAUGGUUUUGGCAUUGUCUUGAAGAAUACCAUUUUCAUCAAUCAGAGGGCCAACAGUAGAACCAGUGACUCUGUGUUUUUUUGCAAAUGAAAAGAACACUUUGGGAUUGAGUUUGAUCUUCUCAAUGGCCCAGGCCUCUUCAGCUCUUCGCUGACUAUUGAUGAUAGACAUCAUGUUGUUUUGGAGUUUAUGUUUUUUAAUCUCUAGCGACGAGAUGGCAGUCAGGUUGGUGUGUUGCUGUUGACAGUAUUUCAGCAUGUUGAUCUUUUUGUUGAUUCUUUUAAUUUUCCUUAUGAGAGAUUUUCUAUUUCUAGGGAUUCGACACUUAGAUUUGUUUGCAGAUCUUAAUGGGGUGUGUCUUGCACAUAUGUUCGUGAUGGUGUCUACAAAUGACUGCCAGGACUUUUUGAUGUUAGUGGGUGUGUAUGUGUGCGUGAAGGACCAAUCGACUUGUGCAAGAUCAUUAUUGAUCGCUUCCCAGUUUGCAUUGUGGAAAUCCAUAGUGUCAAAUGGAUGAACAGGAGGGAUGACAUUUGUUUUGCAUUUUGGCCAGUGAAAUCUCAGAUCACAGAGAACCAUGUCAUGGUCGGAGAGUAGGGUUUUCUCCACUGCAAUAUUGUGGAUAGUAUCAGUGUGAUUGCUG
rnacentral:lncRNA from 1 species